GACGAACGCUGGCGGCGUGCCUAAUACAUGCAAGUAGAACGCUGAAGGAGGAGCUUGCUUCUCUGGAUGAGUUGCGAACGGGUGAGUAACGCGUAGGUAACCUGCCUGGUAGCGGGGGAUAACUCUUGGAAACGAUAGCUAAUACCGCAUAAGAGUAGAUGUUGCAUGACAUUUGCUUAAAAGGUGCAAUUGCAUCACUACCAGAUGGACCUGCGUUGUAUUAGCUAGUUGGUGGGGUAACGGCUCACCAAGGCGACGAUACAUAGCCGACCUGAGAGGGUGAUCGGCCACACUGGGACUGAGACACGGCCCAGACUCCUACGGGAGGCAGCAGUAGGGAAUCUUCGGCAAUGGACGGAAGUCUGACCGAGCAACGCCGCGUGAGUGAAGAAGGUUUUCGGAUCGUAAAGCUCUGUUGUAAGAGAAGAACGAGUGUGAGAGUGGAAAGUUCGCACUGUGACGGUAUCUUACCAGAAAGGGACGGCUAACUACGUG
rnacentral:rRNA from 1 species